UUUCCCUCUCUCUCUUUGCUUGGCUUUUUCUGCAUUUUUCUUAAUGGAAUUUGUUAGGUUGUGAUUUCAAAUACUCAAAUCUGAUUGGAUAGUCACACAGUCCCACAUCGAUUUUAAGCAUGAAACCUUAGAAUUUGGGGUUCUAUAUAAAGAACCCCCAAUUCCACAUUAUACACACACAGAGAUAUAUGAAAAUACUUGCAUAUUUUCAAGAAGAACCCAUUGUAGGUUUUACACUGAUCUUGUGCGGGUACACCUAGGGUUUUGAUUUGCUCAGAACUCUUUUUAGUCUAAAUUUGAUCUGUGUUUCUGAAAUCCUUUUGAUUUCUUUGUGUUUGGCGUAGCUGUGAGGUGUGGAGGAAGCUCAACUCUAUUCUCGACCCAGGCUACCAUCACAAAAGAGGGCCAUUUGGGCCGAGUACAUCAACCAUAAGGUGUUGGGCCUAAGGUCCAAUAGCUCCUCCUUUCUUCUAUCAAGUCCGAACCAGCUUGAAGGCCCAACUAUGGAUGAAAAUGGCAACUGGUGGGCUCGUUAACCGAUGUAGAAAACUAUUCCAUUUGGAGACGUACGAUGAGAAUUGCUAUCUGAGGUCGAAACAAGCUAGGGUUCAUCGACGGGACUUGCAAAAAGGAGAGUUAUGGUUCAAAUCUGACCGAUUUGUGGGAAAGAUGCAAUGCAAUUGUACUUUCAUGGAUAAUCGAACUAUGUUUAGAAGGAAUUGUUUGGAGGAACCAUAUACUCAAGUGAUGCAACAGAAGUUUGGAGUGAUCUCAAAGAGAGAUUUGAUAAAGUAGAUGUAUCAAGAACAUAUCAAUUGCACAAGGAGAUUGCAACAAUUCAUCAAGGUAUUAUCACUACACUUAUGUUUAAUAAUAAACAUGAUCUUUGGGUUGUAGAUUUUGGUGCUACAAAUCAUAUGACAUCCAAAUCUAGCAUACUUUAUGAUAUGAUCCUAGAUGGCACAAAGAUGCUUGGAAGGAUGUAGGACGUUUGGAUAAUAACUUGGGAAGAGAUUGUGAAAGGUUCCACACUAAGUGGCUAAAAGCGCAAAGGGCUAAAAGUGCAAAUUAUGGCUAUAUGAUGCAAAUCAUGGCCAAGAAUCAAAAUUCAAGGCUAGGGAUGUAAUUUGGGCUACAAUUGCAUGACAAUUGGUGUUUGGAAGAUGAAGAUUCCAUAUGAGGGCUAUUUCCGAAAUUCCCUAAAACAGACUACCAACCAAACAAGGCCCUUGCCUCAUUAAUGGCAUUUUUGUAAUAACCUAGUCUUCUUUAGUCUAGGAGUAUAAAUACUAAGACUUAAGACAUUUCAUUUACUUAGAUUGGAUGAAUUAUGUAUUGAAUACUCUAAGGAGUGAUAGUUUGUUUGGCUUAAUAGCCUUUAGGUUUAGACUUAGUUAAUGGUGGAUUCCAUUGUUGGUUUUGGACCGAUUUCCAUUGAUUUUAUGAAGGGUUGUUCAUUUGUGGAUUCAAUUGAAUUUCCCUUGCUUUGAUUUCAAAUAGUAUAGGUUCUUUGAAUUGAAUAAAAUUGAGAGGGUCUAGGUUUCAUAUACUUAGGUUUGCUCACAAGUUCAUUAUUCAUUGGGUCUUGCUUUUAUCCUCUAUUUCUCAUCCCCUUUUCUUCAAUUCUCAUCCAAAUUUCUUGUUAUCCUUUAAUUUUGCGUUUAGUGUUGAAUUGGUGUUUUUCCCCAAUUCAAAUUUUACUAUUUGGUAUCCGAGCUUAAGCUAGAGUGUUGUUUCUACAAUCCUCAAUCCUAGGUUCUUUAUAUUUGAAAAAAAAAUCAAAAUUUCCUAAAAAAAAAAUCCAAAAAUUUGUUGUUUUUUUUGGUGUGUUUGAGUUCCUUGAUAUUAGAAACUCCUAGGUUUCAAAUUUCGUGACAUUUGGAGGUGUUUUGAAGAUUCUACCAUUGUUGAAGCUUGAAAGUUUGAAACUUAAAAGUGGGUUUUGGUGAUUGAAGGUGAAAUUGGCUUCAAUUGGUGUUGGGCUUUGUUCUCCUAGUUGAGGGGAGCUUAGAUCCGAAUUUUGGUGCAAAAACAAGUUGAUUUGAAGGUGAAUUGAAAUUUGGGUGUUUUUCAAGUUCAUAAGCAUCUUCAUAUGUUCAUAGUGAAGAAGAAGACCCAAAAGAGUGUUUGAUUCAAAAUUUCUUCAAGUCAAGAGGUCAAAAGGUGUUUGUGGACCCAAGUAAGAAUCCAAAAAAAAUCAGAAAUUUUAAGUCCAGUUUUCUGAUUUUUCAAAAAAAAAAAACUACCACGUCAGCGCUGACGUCAGCAGCCUGACGCACUUCUGCAAGUGCAUGGCCCACAGAUUCAGAGACCAAAUUUUUCCAAAAGUCUCAAAUUUUUUCUAAGUGUUGGCAGAUUUUGUCCCAAAUUUAGAGGGGCAUAUCUUUGUGUGUAUAAGGAGUUACGAGACCGAUAACCUAUCUAAAUUGAAGUUCAUCGAGUCUAAUUUCCAAAUCAACCAACCAUUCAUCAAUUGGAACUAUGUAGAAAGAAUUAUUUGGAUUUUAAAAACACGCUGCAAGAAGCUCCGAAUUUUCUAAGUGUUGGCCAAAAACUUCCCAAAUUUGUCUAAGUGUUUGGCCAAGGUUUGUUCACUUCUUCUUCUCAUUUAUUUGAUUCUCCUAGCUAAUUAACAAUUAGUAAUUGAUCCUUACUUAGUUGUUAACUAGUUCUUGAGUCCGAAUUUCAUUUUGUGCCAGUUUCUUCCAAGCUUUUCUCUUUUAUUUCAUUGAAACUUUAUUGGAUCUUUUCCAUUCGCUUUGAGUUGUCCUUCUUUUAUCUAAACAAGAAUCUAUUCUUCCACAAAGAUUAGCAACCUUGUAAAUUAAUUUGGGAUUUGCGAUUCAUUGUCAACUUUGGAAGAAACUGUAGGUUGAGUGGUAAGCUUGAGUGCAAGUACGAGUGACGUGAGGAACAUUACUACUAAACUUGUUUGCUCAUUUUGUGGGUAGAAAAAGGGAAGUCAUAAGGAAAAAAUAUUUGAUGGAAGAGAUAGUGGUAUUCGUGAGAGAAGGGAAAAUACAUUUCCUACUUCAAGAAAUACAAUGAAUCAUGCUUCUCAUCCUAAUACGAAGGUACCAUGUUCUCAAUAUAGUUAUGAUGUUGAAGGUAGGAGGAGAGAAGUAUUGAUAGGUGAUAGAAGUAGAAGGAAUGCAAGGUCCCAAGUGAGAAAUGACCCAAAGAGGCGAAUUCUUGAGACAAAGGUGAACUUGCUUGGUAGUGCAGAGUAUGUCCUUGUGUUUGAUGAUGGUAGCAAUGGCAACUACCUUGCACCUCAAGUAGUUGAGACAUUGGGUAUAGAAUGUGUGAUGAAACGAGACCCUUACGAUGAUCAAAGAGGGUACUUGGUUGAUAGGAGCGCAAGGGUGUUCUUUACCCAUGGCAAAUACCAAGACGAGGUUUGGUGUGAUGUACUUCCACUAGAAAAUUGUCACUUAUGUUGGGGGAAUGCUUGGUUCCUAGAACAUAAGGUUUCAUAUGGGCAAGAAUGGUACAAGUAUGUAGUGGACAAACAACGAAGACCUCUCUUUCCACCUAUAGUUCCUAAAGAUGAAGUAAUUGCAAGUAAACCCUGUCCUAUGGAGAGUGGGCCCGAAAUCCCACAAUGGGAGAAAAAGAAUUUAGAAGAGAUUCACCUAAUGAUGGAACGCUUAUGCAAGUCACAACAAAUGAAAGCGAAGAAGUCUAAGCCUUGUGAAGCGAAAGAGAAGAGUAAAGUGGAGGGUUCCCUUAAUCGUUCUAAAGAUGUACUUGACACUUGUCCCAACUCGCAUGAAAUUGAGAGGGAAAAGAUUGAGAGGUGUAAGGGAGCAAAAAGUGACAACUCUAGAGUGGAAAAAUGAGAGGUUGUGAGGAGUGAUGUGAGGGUCGUCACAACCCCAUUCUAACCUUUGUACCUUUUCUUUCUUAUCUAGUUGUAUGGAUAAUGGUGCAAGUAUUCUUGGAAAUCAAGCCAAAUGAUGAGCCUCAAAUUGUGAAAAUUCAUGAGGUACUUAAAGGCUUCCCCAAGAGCAAAUUGACUCCAAAGUCAAAAAUCAAGGUAAAGAAGAUGUUAUGUGUGCACUUCAAGAUAAAAUAGCUAAACUUAACACUCUAAAUGAUGUGAAUGAUCAUGUUGUUGAAUUGAGUGUGAGUGAAAGCUUGUAUUUAUGUGAGCUUAAUGAGACUGGUGUUGAGGUUAAUGACUCUUCAAUGAUUGUUGACAAUGUAGUUGGUUUGGGUGUAUCAACACUAGUUGAUCUUAUUGAUGACCGUAUUGAUUCUUCUUAUGAGAUCAAUUUGUGUCCACCUAGUGUUAACACUUGUGACGAAAAUUAUAGUGCAUUGUCUUGUGUUAUGGUAGUUCACACACUAGUUGAUCCUAGAAAUGACCGAGUUAACUCUUCUUACAAGGUCAAUUUAAGUCCAACUAGUGUGAAUAAUUGUUUAGUCCAACUUGCUUGUGAUAAUAGUCCACUAAUUGAGGGAUUGUGUGGUGUGCUUAAUGGACCUCAAUUUAGUGAUGAUAUUGAUGUAAUUGGUCAUAUGAAUAGUCAUGUUAAUGAAGACGCUUUGGUAGGUGACAUUUGUCUUUUUGAGAAUAAGAUUGCAAACUUUGACUCUUCAUUGUCCAUUGAAUCUUUUUCCCUUAAAGAUAAUUUCUUAUUUGAAGUUGACAUGACUUGUGGAAAUGAUGUACCUAGUGGGAUGUUUGGUAAUGUUGCGAGUGUAGUUUCUUAGGAGACUACAAGGUAUUUAGUAACCCACUAUGGGAUGAUGAUAUGCUUGGUCUUGAUGACAAGCAUGGGGUGGUUGAAGCUCUUGACACUAUCCCCGAUGACGAAGAGUCCUUCUUGAGGGUUUGUGACCCACUUGAUGGACCAACGUCGAAUUUGGAAAAGGCUUUCGAAAGUGAUGAGUGCGCUUUAAAGAAGGGGAGCCAUUUGAAGGGAAAACAGAACACUUCUUGGAAGGAUUAUGCUAAUCUUCUAUCCCAAGGGGUGAGGAGAUGCUACUUUUAUCUUGACAUAGGUUUGAAAAGCCUAAAGGUAAAAAUCCUUCUUUUUAUGAACUUGAUUAUGUGAUUAACUUGUUUGUGGAGUUUCAUCAAAGGAGGAAACUUGAAGAGGAUACCCAUUGGAGAAGACCUCAUUGGACUACGCUUUGGUGUGAAGUCACAUCUUGUACUUCCUUCACGGACAGUAUGUAUUCGUGGCUCAUACUUAUUCUUGUGCUUUCUUAAAGCCAUUGAGGUUCGAAUUCGAAGGCGAAUCCUUUUGAAGAGGGGAGGAUGAGAUGAUCCUAUAUGGCACAAAUAUGCUUGGAAGGAUGUGGGACGUUUAGAUGAUAGCUUGUGAAGAGAUUGUGGAGGCUUCUACACUAAGUGGCUAAAAGCGCAAAGGGCUAAAGUGCAAAUUGUGGCUAUAGGAUGCAAAUCAUGGCCAAGAAUCCAAUUCAAGGCUAGGGAUGUAAUUUGGGCUACAAUUGCAAGAAAAUUGGUGUUUGGAAGAUAAAGAUUCCAUAUGAGGGCUAUUUCCGAAAUUCCCCAAAGAAGACUACCAACCAAACAAGGCCCUUGCCUCAUUAAUGACAUUUUUGUAAUAACUUAGUCUUCUGUAGUCUAUGAGUAUAAAUACUAAGACUUAGACAUUUCAUCUACUUAGAUUAGAUGAAUUAUAUAUUGAAUACUCUAAGGAGUGAUAGUUUGUUUGGCUUAAUAGCAUUUAGGUUUAGACUUACUUAAUGAUGGAUUCCAUUGUUGGUUUUGAACUGAUUUCCAUUGAUUUUA